rnacentral:sRNA from 1 species
AAUGCAGCGCGGCGCGCUGUCCCCGGUGCUGAUGCUCAGCGCUGCCCCGGAGCCUCCGCCGCGCCCGCCUCCCGCCCUCUCCCCACCGGGCUCGGGCCCAGGCUCGGGCUCCCGCCAUGGCUCGGCUCGUCCCGGUCCUACCCCAGAGCCGUCGGGGAGCCUGGGCGCGGCGCUCGACAGCAGCCUGCGUGCCGCCGUGGCGUUCAAGGCAGAGGGCCAGCGCUGCUAUCGAGAGAAGAAGUUCCGGGAGGCCAUCGGCAAGUACCACCGAGCGCUGCUGCAGCUGAAGGCGGCGCAGGGGGCCCGCCCUAGCGGCCUGCCCGCCCCCGCCCCCGGGCCCACCAGCAGCCCCGGGCCGGCGCGCCUCAGCGAGGAGCAGCGGCGCCUGGUGGAGAGCACGGAGGUGGAGUGUUACGACUCCCUCACGGGUACGCCGUCGGGGGGUGGGGGGAUGGGGCACGAGGGGAGGGGGCAAUCGGGAGAGCUUGGCGACUUGGGGGGCAGGGGCCCUGGGGCUGAAGGGUCCAGGGCUGUGGGCUUCUGGGGGAGCCUUCAGAGCUUGAUCAAGGAAAGGGAUUAGGGGUAGGGGAUGACAGGGGUCUGUGGCUGGAGGGAGCUGGGAUGCAGGAAAUGGUCUUUGGGUCGGGUCUUCAGGGCCCCGCUUCCCCUGAGUCAUUCUUUCCACCCCCUGGCCGCACGUGGACCCAAGGUGAGGAAGUCUGCCCUGAGCCAGGCUCUCGAGGUCCCGGCCCUCGCCCCCGCGCGGGGCCUUAGUGCUCUUGCCCACCGACAGCUCUGGGUGGAUCGCCCAGUGGCGCCUGUCCGUGUUUUGGCGCCCCCUAGCGGCGGCGCAGUUGCGCCUGUUUCGAUAGGCGAGCGGAUUGGCGCCCCUGGUUGCCGGAGCAAUCCCUUAGGCCUGGUUCCCUGCCGCCUGGAGCCUCGGCUCCUCGCAGUCAGGUGGGUUCUGGGGGUGCCAGCAGGCUCUGAGAGUGCCGGCCGCGGCGCCCUCGCAGCUUGCCUGCUGCAGUCGGAGCUGGUAAACUACGAGCGCGUGCGCGAGUACUGUCUCAAGGUACUGGAGAAGCAGCAGGGCAACUUCAAGGCCACCUACCGUGCCGGCAUUGCCUUCUACCACCUGGGCGACUACGCACGCGCGCUGCGCUACCUGCAGGAGGCCCGCAGCCGCGAACCCACAGGUGAGUGGCGGGGCGGGGCAGAGGUGAGGGCUGGGCCCAGGGCGGGGAAAGGGGCUGCAGCGGAGGGAACAGGCAGGAAGAUCAGGGCAGAACAGCAGAGCCCUCCUCCCGCGGAGCUGCUUCUAGGUAGGGCUGCGCCACCCACCUACUCCCUACACGCCCACUCAUCCAUUCAUCCACCCCGCCCUUCACCCGCCAUUCAAACAUCCGUCCACCUAUCGCUCCUCUGACAUCUCCCCGGCCAUUUCUCAUCUACCGUCAUUGCCACAUCUGAUAUCUCCUAUUCACCUGCUCAGUUACUUCCCUAUCCACCCACUGUCAUCUCCAUUACCCUGUCCCACCCCUGCCUACCGCACACACUCAUUCCUCCACUCACCCAUUCACACACACCUAUUCAUUCACUUCCUGCACCAUCCACUCAUCCACUCGGGUGGGCGAUGCCAGGAAAUUGGGGUGUGUGUGUGUGUGCGUGCAUGUGUGCACUUACACACAUGAGUGCAGGAGGGCAGACACAACACUCAGUUUUGUAUUAAGAGCCAAUGAAGAAGGAAGAGGGAUUACAACAGGUGCAGGGUUGUGGGAGCCGAGACGAGAUUAGUUUUCCUGUUAAGUGGCUCGGAGAGAACAGACUUCUUGCAGAUGUCGCUGGAGGAUGAGAAGUGUGACGGGAGCCUCUGCGAAGAGGCAUUCCUGGCAGAGGGUGCCGCAAAUACAGGCGCAUAGAGGUGUGCGAUGGCUCCGCUUUGCCGACUGUGACUGGGGCUUUGGGGAAGGGCUCUGGCUCUACUGGCUGUGUGAGCGAGCUGCUGGAUACUUCGGAGAAUGGGGUGUGAGCCAGGGAGGUGUGGAAGUCACCUGCUGCCCCGGGACACCCAGAUGAUGCCCUGCCCACCUCCCCUGCAGACACCAAUGUGCUCCGCUACAUCCAGCUGACUCAGCUGAAGAUGAACCGUUGCAGCCUCCAGCGGGAAGACAGUGGGGCUGGGUCCCAGACUCGGGAUGUAAUUGGCUGAGGCCAAUCCAGGGGGACCUCUCUAUCCCUCGCCCUCCCACCUCACCAUGUAACUUCCCCCUGACUCAUGUGUUCGUUGGUAAAACACUUGUCACUGGUGAGCAU